GUGAAUCAUCGAAUCUUUGAACGCAAAUUGCACUCUCUUCGGAGAGUAUGCCUGUUUGAGGGUCAGCCUAAAAAAAAUCGACAUCGUUGCUGUUAUUUAAUGGUGACUUUCGUCGGAGAUUGGGUUAUCUUAAACCUUUUUUUUUUUUUUUGGUUUAUGCGUCUUAAAAUUUUUCUUCACGAUUCCAUGAACGUAUCUAAGUUUUUUAUUCCUUUUAUGUUU
rnacentral:misc_RNA from 1 species